rnacentral:rRNA from 1 species
AUUGAACGCUGGCGGAAUGCUUUACACAUGCAAGUCGGACGGCAGCACGGACUUCGGUCUGGUGGCGAGUGGCGAACGGGUGAGUAAUGUAUCGGAACGUGCCCAGUCGUGGGGGAUAACGUAGUGAAAAUUACGCUAAUACCGCAUACGAUCUAUGGAUGAAAGCGGGGGAUCGCAAGACCUCGCGCGAUUGGAGCGGCUGAUAUCAGAUUAGGUAGUUGGUGGGGUAAAGGCCCACCAAGCCAACGAUCUGUAGCUGGUCUGAGAGGACGACCAGCCACACUGGAACUGAGACACGGUCCAGACUCCUACGGGAGGCAGCAGUGGGGAAUUUUGGACAAUGGGCGAAAGCCUGAUCCAGCCAUUCCGCGUGCAGGAUGAAGGCCCUCGGGUUGUAAACUGCUUUUGUACAGAACGAAAAGGUUUCUACUAAUACUAGGAGCUCAUGACGGUACUGCAAGAAUAAGCACCGGCUAACUACGUGCCAGCCGCCGCGGUAA